rnacentral:rRNA from 1 species
CCAAUAGCGUAUAUUAAAGUUGUUGCAGUUAAAAAGCUCGUAGUUGAAUUUCGGGGUUAGUAGGUUGGUCAUGCCUCUGGUAUGUACUGGUCUCACUGAUUCCUCCUUCCUGAUGAACCUUAAUGCCAUUAAUUUGGUGUUUUGGGGAAUUUGGACUGUUACUUUGAAAAAAUUAGAGUGUUUAAAGCAAGCUAACGCUUGAAUACAUUAGCAUGGAAUAAUGAAAUAGGACGUUCGAUCCUAUUUUGUUGGUUUCUAGGAUUGACGUAAUGAUUAAUAGGGAUAGUUGGGGGCAUUAGUAUUCAAUUGUUAGAGGUGAAAUUCUUGGAUUUAUUGAAGACUAACUACUGCGAAAGCAUUUGCCAAGGAUGUUUUCAUUAAUCAAGAACGAAAGUUAGGGGAUCGAAGACGAUCAGAUACCGUCGUAGUCUUAACCAUAAACUAUGCCGACUAGGGAUCGGAUGAUGUUAAUUUUUUAAUGACUCAUUCGGCGCCUUACG